rnacentral:rRNA from 1 species
UCUAGAGAUUCCUACGGGAGGCAGCAGUGAGGGAUAUUGCGCAAUGAGCGAAAGCUUGACGCAGCGACGCCGCGUGGGCGAAGAAGGUUUUCGGAUCGUAAAGCCCUUUUCUGUGUGACGAGAACGGACGGUAGCACAGGAAAAAGUCUCGGCUAACUACGUGCCAGCAGCCGCGGUAAAACGUAGGAGGCAAGCGUUAUCCGGAGUUACUGGGCGUAAAGCGCGCGCAGGCGGAUGGUUAAGUUAUCUAUGAAAGCUCCCGGCUAAACUGGGAGAGGUUGGAUAAGACUGGCCAUCUAGAGUAGGGAAGAGGGGUGCGGAAUUCCGCGUGUAGUGGUGAAAUGCGUAGAUAUGCGGAGGAACACCAGUGGCGAAAGCGGCACCCUGGUCUCAUACUGACGCUGAGGCGCGAAAGCAUGGGUAGCGAACGGGAUUAGAAACCCCGGUAGUCCACGCCCUAAACGAUGUCAACUAGUUGUCGGGGAUUCAUUUCCUUGGUAACGCAGCUAACGCGUGAAGUUGACCGCCUGGGGAGUACGGCCGCAAGGUUAAAACUCAAAGGAAUUGACGGAAUCGUCGACC